GUGUUGCAUGAAAGGAGAGAAGGUUAGCACUCCCCUUGACAAGGAGGGAAGAGGCCCUGACAACACGCAUAUGGUUAAGGCAUUGCCACCUACUUCGUGGCUUCUAACCACUGUUUUUG
rnacentral:ncRNA from 1 species